GAAUUAAAUAUUAAAAAACCACCUGAUUUCUACUGAAAAAUGCAACAUGCAGAGGAUAUUAUUAUAAAUUACUUGGUAAAGAAAUGCUGAGAUUCAUUUGGAAGUCGCUGCAAACAUAGUUCUAGGUGUUCCAGGGUUAAGUCAAAGGUUGUUAACCCUUUAGGUGUCCACAUUCCAUCAUAUCAGCAGGUUUUCAACAUUAGCAUCUGUUUGACCCACUUUUAUAUGUAAACAUUCCAAAAACAAACAGUAAAUCCAUGUGUGGUUCGUUACAGGUGCAGGUGUGAAUGUUAACUGUCCUCUAGACGAAUAAGUCCAUGUGGCUCUUGAACAAAAAAAUACACUGUUAAGAACAAAGGCAGGUGAUGUUUACAGACAGAUGCAAGUCACUUAAGAAAGCUUAAAUGUGGAGAAAAAAAUCUUUUUUUCAUUUAUGGCAAAUGUCGACUCUUGUUUUUACAUUCAGUUAAUCAUGUAUUUGUUAAAAAAAACUCACUUUUUCUUCAGUUUUCUAUAUUUAGAUAAAAUGUCCUUUUAAUUUACUAUGUGUUUUUAUGAACAUCUACAUAAUCAGUGAAUUAAAUAUGAAAAAAAAACUGAUUUCUACUGAAAAAUGCAUCAUGCAGAGGAUAAUAUUAUCAUAAAUUACUUGGUAAAGGUUAAAUGUUGAGAGAGGUUCAUUUGUAAGUCGUCACAUGAACAGUUGUAGGUAAUCCAGGGUUAAGUCAAAGGUUUUUUUACCCUUUAGGUGCUGGAGUUUUUUCCAAAAAUAUUCUUUAUUUUGAUAUCAAGAUUUGAAAACUACCUACACUACAUCGGUUCAUUACAGGUGUAGGUGUGAAUAUUAACUGUCCUCUAGACCUGAGAACAUUUGACAAAUAAGACCAUGUGACUGUAAAAUUAAAAAAA